UAAUGUCUGAUAAUUGAGCACAUACUGAUAUUGAUAGUUCCAAAAACACUAAUUUCCGAAUCCAAAAUCAAAAAAGAAAGACAACAGAAUUGUAGAUAAUAUUUGAUCAGGCAGUGAUCUCCUUCUUGAGUUUUGCAAGCUCUUGCCUGACAACACCAGCUUUC
rnacentral:sRNA from 1 species